rnacentral:lncRNA from 1 species
CAUUAAAAAUCUCCAAUUCAACUUUAGUUGACAUUAUCAAAACUCAAUUUGAUAAAAAAAAAAAUGCAGGCAGAUCACAUACAAAGUCAACAGUAUAUUCAACUUGCAGGAACUCAAAUGUCAUACACCAUAAUCAAAUUUAAAGUGCACAGUUAACAAGUGAGUUAUACAAUAUAGGUUAUGCAGUAAGAUCUCAUCAGUCCAUUCACCACAUGAAUAAGCAGUUUACACAAAAACCAGCAGUGUCAAGUCACAAGUGUAACAUGCCAUAUACAUUAUAAUAAACUCAUGCAGAAAACAUAAAAUUUGUCCAAAAUCGUCAACUUAUAAAUCAAGACAAUUCUUAGAUUCCAGACAACUUACGAUUUCUAGACAAAGGCAUUGUCAAGAUAAAGUCUCAGAUUUAGGGAUUUUAAGUCAGUUACAAAAGUCUCAUAGUAUAGACAAAUAUUAUAUAUGUAACUCGACAAUUAUGGAACGAACUCACCAAAAUCCCUUAUUAGGGUUUCAAGAAAUAAACGAGAUCAACUGAACCAGUGCAAGAAACCUUCGAGUCUACCAACAUCGGCACCAAGAACCCCUGUCACGAGCUCUAAUACCACUGUUACGAGAAGUUCAAGAAAUCAGCCCACUUAAGUCAACAAAAAUAACGAAAAAUCACAAAAAAACUGAAAACUGAAAAAAUGUAAAAACACAAUGAAGAAUACGGUAUUUUCGCCCUAAGGCAAGAGGUUCGGAACUUCGUUCCUAAUCCCCUUUUGAGCUUCCGUCAAAUGGAAGAGUAACGGUUCAGUUUUAG